rnacentral:tRNA from 1 species
GCCUCAGUAGCUCAGCGGUUAGAGCUGCGGACUUUUAAUCCGUAGGUCCAGGGUUCGAAUCCCUGCUGGGGCA